CUCAGAUUGAACGCUGGCGGCAUGCUUUACACAUGCAAGUCGAACGGUAACAGGCCGCAAGGUGCUGACGAGUGGCGAACGGGUGAGUAAUGCAUCGGAACGUGCCCAGUCGUGGGGGAUAACGCAGCGAAAGCUGCGCUAAUACCGCAUACGAUCUAAGGAUGAAAGCGGGGGACCGUAAGGCCUCGCGCGAUUGGAGCGGCCGAUGUCAGAUUAGGUAGUUGGUGGGGUAAAGGCCUACCAAGCCAACGAUCUGUAGCUGGUCUGAGAGGACGAUCAGCCACACUGGAACUGAGACACGGUCCAGACUCCUACGGGAGGCAGCAGUGGGGAAUUUUGGACAAUGGGCGCAAGCCUGAUCCAGCAAUGCCGCGUGCAGGAAGAAGGCCUUCGGGUUGUAAA
rnacentral:rRNA from 1 species